UUACUUGAUGGGACUUUAUUAAAGCAGAUUGAGUCGUACAUCAUAUGUUGAAAAGGCUAAGAAAGGAUCCACUGUGAUAAAAAUCCAUUAGCAGACUUCAUGUGGGCAUCACAGUGGUCAAUCUGGGUAGUCAGCAGAGAAGAUUUUUUUUCAGCAGCUUGAACUAGAGUUUGGAAAUUGGCAUCACUCCAUUGAACAAUGAAUUUCUACCUGUUCUGAAUCAAAACAAAGACAUCCAGAAUGUCUUCCAUUUGUAGUUACUGUAUAUAAUUCCAAUCUUAAGAUUUUAAUGUGUCCUUAAAUAGGUAUAGUCAUAGAGUUU
rnacentral:lncRNA from 1 species